rnacentral:sRNA from 1 species
GCUGAGAUGGUCUACAGCCUGCGCCAUUAUGGAAGAGGGAGUGGGUUCAAAUCCCAUUUUCAGCA